CGGCCCGGCCCGGCCCGGCCCGCCCGACCCCUGCCCGCAGCGGGGCCGCGGUCCCAACCCCAUGUGUCCCACUUGUCUGGAUUAAAAUUUGAAGUCUGGCAGUCUGGUUCUUUUCAUAGCUCCAGAGGAUUUUUGGGAGCAUGGGAUGCAUGGACCUGUUGACCCACAAAACUCUGGAGAAUGUUGGCUGUGGAUAAAAACAUCUGGAAGUUUCUACCAUCUUUUUACCCUGUUUUUCCUGGAUCAACCUGUGUCGUUUGUGGUCUUGCCCUGAGGAUUAUAGCAUACAGUCACUUACUGGAAUACCUUUCCAUGCAUCUUCUUGAAAUGGAGCCACUGCUUUACCCAGCUGGAAGAUAUUUUCUCUUCUCCCAGAGCUUUUCCAGUGCAGCAACACUCCUGUCCAUCAGGUCUCAGUUGACUGCAAAAAGGAGAAGAGUGUGUCAAAGGGAGGUCAGAUCCUGCCAGGGUUUCCUGGGAAAUGAGGUGUAUUCACUGUUUGGAUGAUGAAGCUUGAUGAGCUGCAAUUCAGCUUGGAUUACAGUAUUUCAGGAGACUUUCUGAACUUGCCAGGCAACCCUCCCCCUCGACUUUGGGGACAGAGGAACUUAAAUUUAUAUUUUCAGUGUCACACAAGGAGAUAGUAUGGAGCUGGCUGCUUUACACAAGUAAUGAAAAUCGAUGCUGUGUUGCUCUUGGAAGGAGUGCUCAAAAGGAGAAAAGCCUGGCAUAUACAUCUUGGUUUAGAGACAGAUUUUACCUGGGAAGAAUGUGUCCAGGAGAAGGAGAAGAGGUGAUGCUAAAAGCCAGCUUCCUGACCUCCAGACUGGAACUGAAGCUCUGUAACAAGAUUUAUGUGGAAAGUAUGACUGACAGGAGCAGCUUACUCAUCAUUAGAUAAGUAUUGCAGAUGACUCAUGCAGGAGUAUUGAUAGCUGUGCUACUGAGAUGGAUAUCCUGUUUUAUAACAGCUGUACUGUGAUGCCAAGAGCCAGGAAGCUUAAUUUCACUAUCCAUGCUUUUCUGUGAAUGUGCUUUGGGUCUCUGGCACCUUUUCUCCUUGGUUUGUCCAUCUAAAGAGUUCACAGGGGAGGUUUUGCUUCCCUCAGUUGGGUGUAGGGUAUGGGGCCACUCAUGUCACCUUGAAAUGAAAGCUAGUGUUGAAAGGCUGCAGCUUUUAUACUUGUUUUCCAGGACAAGCAAUAUUUGUCUUUUUAGUAGAAGCCAUCAGUGACUUUCCUCGAUUCUUAGGGUCUUUUUUGUUUUGUUUGUGGUUUUUUUUUUUUCAGAGGUAUUAUACUCCUUCUUCAGCAGAACAAACCAGAAGGUGUAGAAACAGGGAAACAGCUGUAUUUAUGCAUGAAAACCACACUCUCAUUCCUCAAGAAGUGUGUUGGCAUAGAUGAGCCUCUGACCUCGAUGUAUCAGCUCAGUGGUCAACAGCCUUAUGCAGAAAGAGCUUUGGUGUGCAACUCUUCCACUUGAUUUUCUAAGUAUGGAAGCUCUCCUGAGGAGCUGCAUUAUGUGCUGCUGGCCCUGAGAUGGGAUGCAGAGCAAGGAGUGAAGAAGAGCUGUGCCAGUGCUUUUGUGAGGAGAGGGGCUUUCCGGCACGUCAUAUGGUGGAUGGGCUUUAUGGAGAGACCAGGUUUUAAGGCUGUUGUGGAGACUUAGAUCACGUAUCCUCGGAGACUGAAUAGCUGAUGGCUGCUUCAGCAUGGGAAGAAUGAUCAAGACUGGAUAAUGCCACUCUGUACCUCACCUGGCCUCUGGUGGUACCUUGCAAGCCUUGGGUUUCAGAGAAUUUUCCUGAGGACUGCUGCUGAGCUUUGAGGGUACCACCCCUGACAGAAAUGUGAUACUCAGCAAGAGCCUGGAGAUACUUCCUCCUUUAGUCCUUUGUUGUCUAGGAUGCAGAAAUGCCACUUUUCCCCAAACUGGGAAAAUGUUUUUUUCAGUCACUCAAAUACCAGAAAACAAUGCAUUGGAGAACAAGGGUUAGGGGGAACUCAGUCCUGCCAUGCUCCCAGCGAGGAUAUGUCCAUUUUCACUUGUGUGUUUUCUCUGAAGCUACAAACUCAGCUUGCAGUUGGAUAAGUGCUUACUUAGUGUAACACUGAAUAAUCUCUCUUUCAAGGGCUUUAAGUACUGUGUUGAAUUAGGACUUUAGAAAGGUAAAAGCCAAGCUCCCUUUGCCAAGAGGAGCUUCCAUUCAUAGAGUCAGGAAGUGAUCUGACAUGGACAUCGAUGACCUGCUUUGUUAUCUGUGUGUGAAAUCUGGCUCUGCUGAAACCAGUGGCAAAACUGCCAUUGAUUUUAAGAGUUCUGCAUUUCAUUUUCAGUAUGUUUAUUUGCAUUACUUUUUCCUAUAAUGUUUGAUAUGUAGGCAUAGAGGUCAGGGGGAAAAUACUGAUACAAUUGAGACACACUUUCCAUUAUGGUAAGGAGUGGGCAGAUGUCACUGUGGGAAGAUACAUUCAGAGUUUUGCCUGGCACUUUGAAAUGCUUUUAAUUUUUUCCUACCUGCCAUGCUUCAGCCUCCAGGUUAAACUUGUAUAUGAAUGGUAGGUCUUAAUAUUUUGAGUGUUCUGGUUUUUUCUGCAUUAUUUAGAUACCAAACUUGCAAAACAUUCCUCUUAGCAGGGCAAUUCAUCCUCUACUGGAUCGUAAUGAGACCAGUGCUUCCUUUCCUGGGAAAGUAUGUGCCUCUGGUGAGAGAAGCCCACCUUUCACAAACCACAGCUAAAGCUUGUUUUUUCACUGAAGCACAAAGCACACAGCCACUUGCAAAUGUCAGUUUUCUUAGCAUGAAGUAAAUAUACAUUUUGUAAAUGUGGGACAGAACUGUUUUGAUGUGGGUCUUGAACAGGACUUCAGUAUAGAUAGCUCAUCUUUAAUUUAUAGUUACAUGCAAUUGAACCAUUCCAGGAAAAGCCAUUUUGUGGUUUUGGGCCAGGGAAGAAGAAGGAGGAUAAAAACCUUCUGCCCUAAACAGUAACAGAUAGGACAGGCAGAACAGAUAUAUGUUCCCUAAGUGAAAACUUAGUAAAGGGAUCUUGAAAUGUUUAUCAUUACUAAAAUCACUGAGAGAUUUGUGCUGAAACUCUUUCAGGUAUCAGCCCUUCUUUCUCUGGGAAAAAAACAAACACUCCUUUUUUUGUUUGCUACCUCUGUUGCCACAAACAAAUUUUGUUAAAUUCAGCUGGCAGCCAGUCAGCAGUGGUGUUCCUCAGGGCUCAGUAUUGGGGCCAGCUCUGUUUAAUCUCUUUAUCAAUGAUAUUGAUGAGGGGAUCGAGGGCACCCAGUCAAUUUGUGGGCAGCAGGAAUCUGGAUGGGACUGUUGAUCUGCCAGAGGGUUGGAGGGCUCUGCAAAGGGAUCUGAACAGGCUGGGUUGAUGGGCCAAGGCCAAUUGUAUGAGGUUCAACAAGGCCGAGUGCCAGGUCUGCACCUGGGUCACAACAACCCCUGCAGUGACACAGGGGAGGGGCAGAGGGGCUGGAAAGCUGCCCAGAGGAAAAGGACCUCUGAGCAGCAGUGGCUGAAUAUGUGCCAGUGUGCCCAGGUGGCCAAGAAAGCCAGUGGUACCUGGUCUGCAUCCAAAAGAGUGUGGCUAGCAGGGCCAGGGCAGUGAUUGUCCCCCUGUGCUGGGGGGACAAUCCUGUAUUCAGUUUUGGGCCCCUCACUGCA